rnacentral:lncRNA from 1 species
GAAGAAAACCAGCAAGCAUACUUUACAAGAGAGGUGUGUUUGAAGAGUUUAUGUUGAAACUGAAGCUUGAUGAAUUACAUGUAUAAUGCUACUGACAGGAAGGUGUCAAAGUUGGUGAAUAACAACAGAGAAAAUAAUGAGGGUUGCUAUUCCGGAAUGCCAACAGUCUGUUGGUUCAAGAGCAUAGUAAGCAAAUGGCAUUUCUGUGGGUUAAAUUCAUUUGCCAAGACAGACUUAGAAAGAAAGCUGGCUGCAGUGCAACUGUGCUGUGGAGAAGGAGAUGGAGAUUAUAUUUCCAGUAAUGACUCAGGCUUCCAAACUUCCAGACAUGAGAUGAAACUAUCAGUGACGUUAUUUCUCCUCUCAAAAAUUCUCCUGAAAAAAGAAAUCUGA